AGAGAUGUCGGCUAAAGCAAGCCAUUGGCCUUCAAAGCCAAAAACGCAGGUGCGAGUCCUAUUAUUUCUG
rnacentral:tRNA from 2 species